UACGAAGGGGGCUAGCGUUGCUCGGAAUUACUGGGCGUAAAGGGCGCGUAGGCGGAUACUUAAGUCAGGGGUGAAAUCCUGGAGCUCAACUCCAGAACUGCCUUUGAUACUGAGGAUCUUGAGUUCGGGAGAGGUGAGUGGAACUGCGAGUGUAGAGGUGAAAUUCGUAGAUAUUCGCAAGAACACCAGUGGCGAAGGCGGCUCACUGGCCCGAUACUGACGCUGAGGCACGAAAGCGUGGGGAGCAAACAGG
rnacentral:rRNA from 1 species